rnacentral:lncRNA from 1 species
CUCAGUGCCCGUCACCCAGUCACCCCCACCCCCCGCCCUCCUCCCCUUCCAUCACCCCUAGUUCAUUUCCUAGAGUUAGGAGUCUAUAUGUUCUGUCUCCCUUUCUGAUAUUUCCUACCCAUUUCUUCUCCCUUCCCUUCUAUUCCCUUUCACUAUUAUUUAUAUCCCCCAAAUGAAUGAGAACAUAUAAUGUUUCCUCUUUCUAAGGACAUUUGUCAUUGCCCUUUGGACACAGGAUAAUCCAAGAUGAUCUCAUCUUGGGAUACUUAAUUAUAUGUGCGAAGACCCUUUUUCCAAAUCAGGUCACAUUCACCAUGGAUAGGAACGAACAUACCUUUUCAGGCAUGACCGUUCAAUCCACUAUAGGCUACCAUAAGAUAGUGUAAUAUAGAAUAGUUUUUGAAAGCAGAACUAUUGUGUAGGUGGCACACUUGCUAGUGUAUAAAAUGGUGGUAAUAAAUUUUUAUAGGGUUGUUAUGAGGAUUAGAAUAAUAAUAUCUACCUAGGAUAACUAGCAUAGUAUCUGGUGCAUGGUGGAUUUUCAAUUAAUCAUAGUUUAUGUUAAUAGUAUAAAGGACCAAUACUGUGUGAGAUCUAUUACAGAGGCCAUAGUUUAGGGGUUAAAUCCACACACAGAGUUGAGAGAUGAAUACCCUGAGUACAAUUUUUAUCUAUAUAAUGAACUCUGUGACCUGGGUAAAGUGACUUAGCCUCUCAGAGUUUUUUAAAAUCUAAAGUUUGUGAAUGGAGUUUAUAUUACUAACUAUACAAAUAAGUUGUUGUAGGGGUUUAAAAAAAUUAAUGUAUGUAAAACACUCAGCUCAAUGCCUGGCACAUAAUAAGUCUGCUACUUAAUGAUUAUGAGGAUGAGACAGAGGACCACAUCUGAGAAAGUCCAGGCACUCAUACACAGAGACCUAGUGUUUAGAGCAUAAAUAAGGCACUUUUAUAUGUGAUAUCUACUUUGGUUUCUGACAAAUUGUCAUCUUAUUAUUUUGUGGCUCUGCCCUGGGAAGACUGCGCCUCUAGAUGCUCAGGGAGAGGCCUGUUCCCUGGACCACAUUUCUUACCAAGUUAAAUAAGUGAGGAUUUUUUUGGUGACUUUUGAAGAACAAAAGGGCAAAGAGGAAAUGUAGGCAGUGGAAAAGAAAACAUGCAUGUAGAGUCCUUUAACUCUUUCCAUGGGCCUGACGGAAGGCUGCUGGCAGAAGAGCUUUCUUACCUGGUCACCUAACAUUUCCUCCUUUGUUAUGCUACUCCUUAAUGAAUCUACAUGGAAAAACAGAUCUGGUCAACUGACACCUGCUUGGACCAGAGAAGCUGCAUAGAGGCCCGCUGUGAAUAGAAACUAAUAUGAUAACCUACUCUGAUACUAGAAGUUCUGUCUCUACUUCAACAAAGUAGAGGGCUUUGCUCUAAAAAUUAAAAUAAUCAAAAGCUAAUUAAUUAUCAGAGUGCCCACGUGAAACAGAUAGUGGGCAGCUUUUGUCCUUUCCAUUUUAUGCUGGGAUCAGUGAACCAGAAAGAAGUGACUAAGGUGAAAGCAUAUGGUAAAUCACAGAAAACUUGAUAGAGACACUCAGAAAGUCUUGACACUGUCCUGGGCAUUCGGGGGGCUUCUAAGUAUGAAGGUUCCAAAAUAAACACAGCUUAAAAUAUUAAUGGACAUACAAAUCAUACAGAUGCAUCAUCUCAGAAAGGAAAAUAAGUAAAUUAAAUAUGCCUAAACCAUACUAUAGAAAUAUUCUAAUGAUUUGGAUCUAAUUGAGAGGAGAGUGAUCUACAGGCGUGAGUGAGACAAAAUAAGAAAUGAUACAGAUGGACCAUAUUUCUUUUCAAUGAAGAAAGCCUCAUAGUAAAAGUGCAGAUAAAACUGGAUUUUGAAACAAUCUUAUAUCAGGUCUCUUCCUUCUCAUUCAGACUCAACUCUUUCAAUAAUCUCUAACUGCUCUUCCUGCCCAUUUCUAAAUUUAACCCAUUCUUCUCACUCUAUCAUUUUAACAUUCUUCCUAGAAAACACAAGUGGGUAAUACACUGGAAUAAAAUUGCAGACAUGCCAAUGUAAUAAGAGAUGACAGAAAGGCGAUAGGGAGAUAGAGUACAUAGACCUUUUUACCUUUAACAAAGGUCAUUGAUUUCCUGCAGUUGAUAAUUUAGAAAAUAGAUAAGGCAUAUUACCUAAAGAUAAAAAUAGAACCACUAGAAGAACUAACUGAAAGUUUUUCUCACUAUGUCCUAGGGGAAAGAGAGUUCUUUGGGAUCUCUUUCUUAUCAGGCACUAAUCCCACUCAUGUGGGUUUAACCCUCAUGAUUCAAUCACCUCCCAAAGGUUACACCUUCAAAUAUCCUCACACUGGGGAUUAGGUUUCAAAGUAUAAAUAUGAGAAGAGGGGCACAAACUUUCUUACACUAUCUUCUUUUGUCUUUUCCACAAAAAGAGAGGGAGGAGUAGCCAGUUAUAGAAACAGGCAGUAAGGCCUUUUUCCUCCCAUUUUCUUCUUCCUAAGAGCAUGCUUAGAUAAGAAAGAAGGCCUGAAUCAUAGAUGCUGUUUUUUAAACCACAUGAAAGAUAUGAUCUCAGGCUCCUCAUCUAGAAAUGUAUGCCUUAUAAAGACUGUAAUAGUCCCUCAAAACAGCCUGAAAUAUUGAAUUAAAUUGCACUUACUAAUUGGUAAGAGAAAAUUACAGUUAAGUUUAGGUCAAAAGAUCUAUUAGCCUUGUGACCUUAAAGAAACCACUUUAUUUCUCCAAGUCAAUCAUCUCAUCUGUAAAAUGGGGAUAAUAAAACUUAUCUUGGCUAACUUAUAAACUAGUUUUGAGAAGCAAUUAGGGUAAAAGACAUAAAUUGAUCUGGAAAUUAUAAAGUGUAAUAUAAAUAUAAAUUAAUGAAACAAAUGCAUCUGUCAUUAGAUCUUCAUAACAACUCCAAGAUAUGGGCAAAAGUUAUUAUACCCAUUUACUGAUGAGAGCUGGGAAAGAAAAGGAAAACUAUUAAGCUAUUUGCUUGAAGUCUCUCAGAAAGUUGGUUACCAAGCCAAGACCAGUACUCUCUGGCUCUGUUACCCACUGGGUCUCACCUUUGCUGGUUAUUCUUUCUGUGCUAUUUCCCCAUAUACACUCUCUGGAUUCCCUUCUGUGUAUCCCACAAGCUUCUGUUUCCUCUGACUUCAGGUUGGACUGGCCAGUAGAAGACCAGAAGGUAGGAGGAGAAAGAGUUUGGGGGUAUUUCUUCCACUGUUCUCUCCCUGUCUCUGGCAAUAGUUGCAUCCCUCUACAACUUCAACUCCUGUCCAGAGCCUCCUUCCAUGAUGAUAGGUCUCAUGGGGCUCUAAUAACAUUGGGUCUGCAUACUCACUCUUUGCUCUUGAGAUCUAGGCAGUAAACAGCUUCUUCUUAUUGUUAUCCCUGGCACUUCAUAACAUCCUGGGUGCCUCAGCCCUCCCUACACAUCUCUAAAUAGUACCUUCUUGAAAUUCUCUGCAAAAUUCUAGUUAAGCAUGCGUUUUGUUUUCUUG